GGGUCAGUAGGUUGGUCGUGCCACCGGUACGUACUGGUCUCACUGAUUCCUCCUUCCUGAAGAACCGUAAUGCCAUUAAUUUGGUGUUGCGGGGAAACAGGACGGUUACUUUGAAAAAAUUAGAGUGUUUAGAGCAAGCUAACGCUUGAAUACAUUAGCAUGGAAUAAUGAAAUAGGACGAUCGAUCCUAUUUUGUUGGUUUCUAGGAUUGACGUA
rnacentral:rRNA from 1 species